rnacentral:rRNA from 1 species
GACGAACGCUGGCGGCGUGCUUAACACAUGCAAGUCGAACGAUGAACCGGAGCUUGCUCCGGGGAUUAGUGGCGAACGGUGAGUAACACGUGGGCAACCUGCCCCAGACACCGGGAUAACCUUCCGAAAGGAUGGCUAAUACCGGAUACGACCACUUCGGGCAUCCGACGGUGGUGGAAAGGAUUCUGGUCUGGGAUGGGCCCGCGGCCUAUCAGCUUGUUGGUGGGGUAAUGGCCUACCAAGGCGACGACGGGUAGCCGGCCUGAGAGGGCGACCGGCCACACUGGGACUGAGACACGGCCCAGACUCCUACGGGAGGCAGCAGUGGGGAAUAUUGCGCAAUGGGCGAAAGCCUGACGCAGCGACGCCGCGUGAGGGACGAAGGUCUUCGGAUUGUAAACCUCUUUCAGCAGGACGAAGCGAAAGUGACUGUACCUGCAGAAGAAGCACCGGCUAACUACGUGCCAGCAGCCGCGGUAAU